rnacentral:rRNA from 1 species
AGUGAACGCUGGCGGUAGGCUUAACACAUGCAAGUCGAACGGCAGCACAGUAAGAGCUUGCUCUUACGGGUGGCGAGUGGCGGACGGGAGAGGAAUACAUCGGAAUCUACUUUUUCGGGGGGGAUAACGUAGGGAAACUUACGCUAAUACCGCAUACGACCUACGGGGGAAAGCAGGGGAUCGUCGGACCUUGCGCGAUUGAAUGAGCCGAUGUCGGGUUAGCUAGUUGGGGGGGUAAAGGCCCACCAAGGCGACGAUCCGUAGCUGGUCUGAGAGGAUGGUCAGCCACACUGGAACUGAGACACGGUCCAGGCUCCUGCGGGAGGCAGCAGUGGGGAAUAUUGGACAGUGGGCGCAAGCCUGAUCCAGCCAUACCGCGUGGGUGGAGAAGGCCUUCGGGUUGUAAAGCCCUUUUGUUGGGAAAGAAAAGCAGCAGGUUAAUACCCCGCUGUUCUGACGGUACCCAAAGAAUAAGCACCGGCUAACUUCGUG